GACAGAGGAUGCAAGCGUUAUCCGGAAUGAUUGGGCGUAAAGCGUCUGUAGGUGGCUUUUCAAGUCCGCCGUCAAAUCCCAGGGCUCAACCCUGGACAGGCGGUGGAAACUGCCAAGCUGGAGUACGGUAGGGGCAGAGGGAAUUUCCGGUGGAGCGGUGAAAUGCGUAGAUAUCGGAAGGAACGCCGGUGGCGAAAGCGACGUGCUGGACCUUUUCUGACGCUGAGGCGCGAAAGCCAGGGGAGCAAACGGG
rnacentral:rRNA from 1 species